rnacentral:rRNA from 1 species
GUGCCAGCCGCUGCGGUAAUACAGAGGUCUCAAGCGUUGUUCGGAAUCACUGGGCGUAAAGGGUGCGUAGGCGGCGUGGAAAGUCAGAUGUGAAAUCCGGGGGCUCAACCUCCGAAUAGCAUCCGAUACUACCAUGCUAGAGAACUGGAGGGGAGUCUGGAAUUCUCGGUGUAGCAGUGAAAUGCAUAGAUAUCGAGAGGAACACCAGUGGCGAAGGCGAGACUCUGGACAGUAUCUGACGCUGAGGCACGAAGGCCAGGGUAGCGAACGGGAUUAGAUACCCCGGUAGUCCUGGCAGUAAACGGUGCGACGUUUGGUGUGGGGGAUUC